UGAGGAAUAUUGGUCAAUGGGCGGGAGCCUGAACCAGCCAAGCCGCGUGAGGGAGGAAGGCCCUAUGGGUCGUAAACCUCUUUUGUCAGGGAACAAAAGCGAGUAUGUAUACUAGUCUGAGUGUACCUGAAGAAAAAGCAUCGGCUAACUCCGUGCCAGCAGCCGCGGUAAUACGGAGGAUGCGAGCGUUAUCCGGAUUUAUUGGGUUUAAAGGGUGCGUAGGCGGCGGUGCAAGUCAGCGGUAAAAGCCCGGGGCUCAACCCCGGCGAGCCGUUGAAACUGCAGUGCUAGAGAAGGCGAGAGGUACGCGGAAUGCGCAGUGUAGCGGUGAAAUGCAUAGAUAUCACGCAGAACUCCGAUUGCGAAGGCAGCAUACCGGCGCUCAACUGACGCUGAGGCACGAAAGCGUGGGGAUCGAACAGGAUUAGAUACCC
rnacentral:rRNA from 1 species